UCCGCCGUGGUGUAAUAGGCAGCACCAGGGUUUUUGGUACCCUUUGUCCAGGUUCGAGUCCUGGCGGCGGAGC
rnacentral:tRNA from 1 species